UACGUAGGAACCCGAGCGUUGUCCGGAAUCACUGGGCUUAAAGGGCGCGUAGGCGGUCCGACAAGUCAGGGGUGAAAUCCUGCAGCUUAACUGCAGAAGUGCCUUUGAUACUGUCGGUCUGGAGGGAGAUAGGGGUGUGCGGAACUCACAGUGGAGCGGUGAAAUGCGUUGAUAUUGUGAGGAACGCCGGAGGCGAAAGCGGCGCACUGGAUCUCCCUUGACGCUGAGGCGCGAAAGCUAGGGUAGCGAACGGGAUUAGAUACCCCUGUAGU
rnacentral:rRNA from 1 species